AAAAAGUGGCAAGGGAGGACCCAAAAUGGUUUUUUUUUUUUUUUUCUCCUCUUUUUGUAAGGGAUAUUUGAUCGAAAAGUGAGAUUUGACCCACCAAAUCUGGCGCCGACCACCCUAGCCCCACCCCUUUCACGGCAGUCGGCAGCUACUUUUUUUUUUAAAACAAUAAUGAAAUUUUAUAAGUGGGGUUUUGGGUCAUUUUCGAGUCACGGGUCAAGUCAGGUUUAGCUGAUAUCGACAAUAAAUUGAUUAAGCCUAUCCAUAUACGCCUAAUAAAAUAUACUAUCCGGCGUGCUCUCGACUCGGACCCUUUAUUUAUUAGGAAUUAUUAGGCUAUUCUUUCAAAAAAAAAAAAAAAAAAAAAAAGAGAAAGGGCACAUCUAUCUUCAACCCUAGCUCUAUCUGUUUGGGUUUUGUACGUAGUCGAAGAUAGAGAUGGAAGAGGCCGAUGAUUAUAACUGGGACGAGUGUUGUCAAGGAAGGUAUUGUCUAACGCAAUAAUGUCUCUGGAUCAACUUCACUUUCUUUUGUUGGGCCCGCAUUGGGUACAAGGUUUCAAUUUUCGCCAAUAAUGCCAGUUGUUCCAAAACAUCCAUUUCCUAAUCGGAUAUCCAAAAUCACACCAAUGAAGUCGUUAUCAUCGCGUAAUGUUUUCACAUUAGCAAGAGCUCAUGCGCAGCCUCUACUUUGGAUUGUCAAGAGUAUCAAGUAGAAGUCGGUGUGGGAAGAUAACAAAUAAAGAUCCCAACAAGCACCUACAAGACGUUGCUACUUAUCUAUUUACUGUCCUUUAUUUGUUGUUUCUUUUGAUUUCAGCUGUAGUGUUGCUAACUCUGCCUUUUAUCCCCAUUAACUUUUGGUAUUUUUCCUGGGUAAACAUUCUAUCAAGUACUUAAGUUAUGCACCUAAAACAAAAUGUUUCCAUAAAAUGUAUAUGUAGCUAACAAUUGUACGUAUUGACAUAAAGGGGUGGAAUCCUCAUUUUUCUCUUAUUAACAUUUUGCUCACUAAUGCAUGAUUCAAGGUCUAAUUAAUUCUAUACAAAAGAUUUCAAUUCAAUUGAAAGGUAGAAUCGAGGGAAUGUCAAUGGCUAUAAGAAAGCACGUACAAAGGUAAAUAUUAUUGGUUUUAUCAUUCGACAUAAAACGACCUCUUUUGAAAAGUAAGGCACUUAUAAAAAGCCGAAGGGAGGGCUCAAUAUAGAUUUUAUGAAUAUAACCUCUCCUUGUCAAAUGAGUUUAUCAAGGAUAUCAACUUGAAUAUCCUCCAUUCCUCCUUAUAAUAUUGGUAUACAAAAAUUCACUUGAGAGUGAGGGAUAGUUUAAGUGGUUAGAACUUCACUCCCGAUUUCAGGAGAUCCUUUGAUUAAUUCUCACCUCCGCUCUUGUGGCUCUUUAAACAACAACAACAAAAAAAAAAAAAAAAA